AGACACCUGGUUGCAGAAGGCGACGUAAUGGGCGGGGCGGGGCGUCUAUGGUGUAUGGGAGCUUUGGAUCCCCUGCAGUUUUUACAGAGCACUGAUAUCUAUGGACUCUAACAUGGACUUCAUUUAAAGAAACCCACGGACCAUUAAUGGACAAAAACAUGAAUCAAUUUGUAUUGUGGCAUUCAAAUCCUAGCACUUUGGGAGAGCAUCAGGUACCAAGUUUUUGAAGACUAUGACCCACCAUACCAUCAUUAUGCAUUCAAGAGUUGAGUAUGAAUAACYACAUCAAGAUUUAGAUCCUCUUCAAAAGCUUCAAGUGUCAUCUGCAUUAAAGCUCUCCAUUGAACUCUCUCACAAAAAUAAAAGCUGAAAGGGACCCAACUCCAUUAAUAUACUUUAAAAAAUAUCCCUUCCUCUGACUUCAGUUUCCUUGACCAUUAGGGUCUUUCAUAUUGCUUAUGUUCCUUUAGACAAGAGCCAACAAAAUGGUGUAUUCCAAAAAAUAUGUUCUAUGGCCAUAAGUUUUUCUUGGUAGAACAGAAUAAACUUGGCAUAAUAAGUUUGGAAUUAGGUCUUUUAUUGUAGCCUACAAAAAGUUGGAU